GACGUAGGGUCCAAGCGUUGUCCGGAUUUACUGGGCGUAAAGGGCGCGUAGGCGGAUAUUUAAGUCAGGGGUGAAAUCCCAGAGCUCAACUCUGGAACUGCCUUUGAUACUGGGUAUCUUGAGUAUGGAAGAGGUGAGUGGAAUUCCUGGUGUAGCGGUGAAAUGCGCAGAUAUCAGGAGGAACACCGGUGGCGAAGGCGGAUCUCUGGGCCAUUACUGACGCUGAGGAGCGAAAGCGUGGGGAGCGAACAGG
rnacentral:rRNA from 1 species